rnacentral:rRNA from 1 species
GUCUACGGCCAUACUACUCUGAACAUACCCGAUCUCAUCUCAUCUCAGAAGCUAAGCAGGGUCAGGCCUGGUUAGUAGUUGGAUGGGAGAAGACAUCAGUCACACAUUAUUAUUAAUU